rnacentral:rRNA from 1 species
AAUAGAUACCCUGGUAGUCCACGCCGUAAACGGUGGGUACUAGGUGUGGGUUUCCUUCCUUGGGAUCCGUGCCGUAGCUAACGCAUUAAGUACCCCGCCUGGGGAGUACGGCCGCAAGGCUAAAACUCAAAGGAAUUGACGGGGGGCCCGCACAAGCGGCGGAGCAUGUGGAUUAAUUCGAUGCAACGCGAAGAACCUUACCUGGGUUUGACAUGCACAGGACGCCGGCAGAGAUGUCGGUUCCCUUGUGGCCUGUGUGCAGGUGGUGCAUGGCUGUCGUCAGCUCGUGUCGUGAGAUGUUGGGUUAAGUCCCGCAACGAGCGCAACCCUUGUCCUAUGUUGCCAGCGGGUUAUGCCGGGGACUCGUAGGAGACUGCCGGGGUCAACUCGGAGGAAGGUGGGGAUGACGUCAAGUCAUCAUGCCCCUUAUGUCCAGGGCUUCACACAUGCUACAAUGGCCGGUACAAAGGGCUGCGAUGCCGUGAGGUGGAGCGAAUCCUUGGUAAAGCCGGUCUCAGUUCGGAUCGGGGUCUGCAACUCCG